rnacentral:lncRNA from 1 species
AACCCAAAUGCCCAUCAGUGAUAGACUGGAUAAAGAAAAUGUGGUACAUACACACCAUGGAAUACUAUGCAGCCAUAAAAAGGAAUGAGAUCAUGUCCUUUGCAGGGACAUGGAUGGAGCUGGAAGCUGCUAUCCUCAGGUGCAGGAGGAAGGGGAUCCCUAUCAAGGAGGAUAUACAGGGGUUAUCAACUUCAUUGCCUUUUUAUGUUUUCACAUUUAUUCGUAAGUUUUCUUUUGUUAUGAGUACCCUCAGCCCUACUAAAUAUUGACAAACUGCUUUCCAAAGUGAUUGCUCCAUGCCUUUCAAUAUAUAUAAUUAGAGUUCUGUUCCCAUGGGGGAGAGCCGGGUCUUAACAUGAACUUCUAGUUGAUACCAGACCCUCAUCUCCAUUUGCAGUUUACGUGUGUAGCAUUUGUCCUCAUCUUAAGAGUGAGUCACAAAAAUGCUUCAGUAAAAUCUGACGUCAGUUGUCUAAAACCACAGUGUUACCACUCCUAAGUUUGUUAUGGCCUCAAUGUAUUUA